rnacentral:lncRNA from 1 species
GAAUAAGAGGAAAAAAGAAAAUAAGAAGAAGAAGAAGAAGAAGAAGAAGAAGAAGAAGAGAAGAAGAAAACAAGAAGAAGGAUAAGAAGAAUAAUAGGAAAAAAGAAAAUAAGAAAAUAAGAAGAAGAAGAAGAAGAAUAAGAAUAAGAAGAAGAAGAAGAAGAAGAAGAAGAAGAGAAGAAGAAAAGAAGAAGAGGGAGAAGAAGAAUAAGAGGAAAAAAGAAAAAAGAAAAUAAGAAGAAGAAGAAGAAGAAGAAGAGAAGAAA